UUAUUGAACGGACGUCUCCAUGGCUUUUCGAAACCCCAUUGGGCUUAUAGCACCUUGUAUUGCUGGUGGUGUAGAUCAUAUUCGAAAUAAAACGCAAUUUCAUUUUAUUCGAAAUGCAACGCAAUUUCAUUUUGUUCGAAACUGUCAGAUAACAUAAACUCCCGGGGCCCUAUGAACUGCUGAUACAUUGGAGGACACUCCGGAAGGGUGAUCAGGGUUCGGGUAUACGAUUUAACUAUAUCCACCCGAUACGACACGUCAGUAGAUCCAAAACUACAUACGAAGCAAUUUACAGCUUGAAAGUAAAAGCUAACUAAACCAUGAGGCAUGUCAUUUUUCUCUACUUCUCCUUCAAUAAGAUUGUGUGGAACCGUCAUAAUUUCGUCUGCUUGGGCUGUAUUUUUUACCGGAUCCACCUCUAUGCGACAAAAUACCAUCUCUAGUCGGGCUUCAAAGACUAUAGUUAGCAGCAAGUGAAACUUUGGCCUUUUUCGGAGACCCAAGUGUUGAUUGUGCAGCUUCAUGAAGCUAGGUGUUCUCGUGAGGGAGAGCCACCUCUUGCAUACCACCUGGAACCUCGGCAUAGACUUCACAGGAAAUUUUAUUAAUUGGUGAUUCUCGUCUUUUUCAACACAGAGUUGGAAAACAGAUCAUCCACAAGCUAGACUAGUGCCUUUCUUUGAAGAAAAUUUGGCUGGGAUUCUUGUUCUUUAUAAUUGGAAGUUUCAAGUUGAAGAACAUAUGCUCAAAAUCCAGGUUUUAUUGUUCUUUGUUAAUUAGUUUUAUUGUUUUUGAUUAUGUUGUGUUUAUUAUAAAAAUUAAAAUAUGUUUCCUAAGAAACAACUUUCCGGAAAUCUCAAGAGACAAAGAAAGAAAAAAGAAGAAGAAAUUGCUCAAAGUUUAAGAGGAUCUUUGAAUAAAUAUUUUGUUCAACAAACCAAUGCUUCACUUGAAAAUUUAGAUGAAGAUUUGCCAAAUGAAUAUGAACAACCAAUUCAAUUGGAAGAAUUAGCAGAAAAUGAGAAUGAUGUGAAUGAAGAAAUUGGUGAUCUAGAUGAAAAUGAAAAUAUUGAUGAACCUUGCCAUGAAAAUGAAUGUCCCGAAUUGAGUAGGGAUGCACAAAGUUUAGCAUUAGGAGAGCUUUCAAGUUUUGAAUUUAUAUUAAGUUUGGUUGUUUGGCAUGACAUUUUGCAUAAGAUUAACUUAGUUAGUAAAAAGUUACAAUUUGAAGACAUGCGUUUUUCUAAAUUAAAAGUAUUGAAAUCUUACGUGUAGACCACCAUGGCUCAAGAUAGGCUAAAUGGAUUAGCGAUAUUAUGCAUUGAAAAGGAUAUUUUAGAAAACAUUAAAUAUGAUAGUAUAAUUGAUGAUUUUGCAUCUAAAAGUGCAACAAGAAGACAUUUUAAAUGAUGUUUUGUGGUUGAGAUUUCAUUGCUAUUUUUAUUUUGUAGGUACAUGUGAUGAUUUUUUGCUUUGAUUAAUUGUGGAGGAUGAAAAGAAGAUUGAUCAAA